rnacentral:tRNA from 1 species
UCCCAUGUGGCUCAGUUGGUAGAGCAUGGUGUUUGCAACGCCAGGGUUGUGAGUUCGAUUCCCACGGGGGAC